rnacentral:rRNA from 2 species
CGCGGCCUAUCAGCUUGUUGGUGGGGUAAUGGCUCACCAAGGCGACGACGGGUAGCCGGCCUGAGAGGGUGACCGGCCACACUGGGACUGAGACACGGCCCAGACUCCUACGGGAGGCAGCAGUGGGGAAUAUUGCACAAUGGGCGGAAGCCUGAUGCAGCGACGCCGCGUGAGGGAUGACGGCCUUCGGGUUGUAAACCUCUUUCAGUAGGGAAGAAGCGAGAGUGACGGUACCUGCAGAAGAAGCGCCGGCUAACUACGUGCCAGCAGCCGCGGUAAUACGUAGGGCGCAAGCGUUGUCCGGAAUUAUUGGGCGUAAAGAGCUCGUAGGCGGUUUGUCGCGUCUGCUGUGAAAGCCCGGGGCUCAACCCCGGGUCUGCAGUGGGUACGGGCAGACUAGAGUGCAGUAGGGGAGACUGGAAUUCCUGGUGUAGCGGUGAAAUGCGCAGAUAUCAGGAGGAACACCGAUGGCGAAGGCAGGUCUCUGGGCUGUUACUGACGCUGAGGAGCGAAAGCAUGGGGAGCGAACAGGAUUAGAUACCCUGGUAGUCCAUGCCGUAAACGUUGGGCACUAGGUGUGGGGGACAUUCCACGUUUUCCGCGCCGUAGCUAACGCAUUAAGUGCCCCGCCUGGGGAGUACGG